GUCGGCGAGCCCGCGGUGGGGGUCCCCGCGCCGCCCAGGCCUACCCCGGCUCCUUGGGAUAGAUGGGGAGGCUGAGGCCCAGAAGGGGGCUGAGACCACCUCCCAGUUUCCCCAGCGAGGUGGCGCCUGAGCCACGGCCAGGCCCGGCCUCCUUCCACCCGGCCCUGCUGUGCGCGCGGCAGGUGCUGACCUGGCGAGGCCCGACAGGGGACCAGGUCGGGGUGACCGUCACUGACACCUGGACAGUCCUCGUUGUGUUCGGGGUGGGAAGCCCACGGAAGACACCAACACAGGAGGCUCCCAAGACUGCCGGGGCCAAAUGUGGCAGGUGGACGUCUCCCCGCCACCGAGCAAGCCAUCAGUUCUGCAGCGGACACCAGCCGAGUGUCCUCCAACACCAUUCCGGUACCUGCAGAUAGCAUCAGAUCCCACAGGGUGAGCGCUUAGCUCCAAGACACCUACACACACACACACACACGCACACACACACACGCGCACACACAUGAGCUGCGAGGGCCAGCCUCUGGAACUUCUUACCGACUGGCCCGACGUUGAGGUUCCCACUGUUAGAGGAACGCUUGCUCACCAGGCAUCUGGUUUAAUGAAACAUGACCAGAGUGACUCCAUCUUGAAGUGAGUAGGAGGCACUCACAAGGCACCUAUAAGGUUAAUGCUUAUGGUCUAAAAAUAGCCACGUCUCAAGCUGGACACCAAUUAUAAUUACAGAAUAUUUGUGGCCAUAUGGGGCAUCUCCCAGCAAGCCCGCAGACUGUCCAGAUA
rnacentral:lncRNA from 1 species